rnacentral:rRNA from 1 species
UACGUAGGGUGCGAGCGUUUGUCCGGAAUUAUUGGGCGUAAAGGGCUCGUAGGCGGUCUGUCGCGUCGGGAGUGAAAACUCAGGGCUUAACCCUGAGCCUGCUUCCGAUACGGGCAGACUAGAGGUAUGCAGGGGAGAACGGAAUUCCUGGUGUAGCGGUGGAAUGCGCAGAUAUCAGGAGGAACACCGGUGGCGAAGGCGGUUCUCUGGGCAUUACCUGACGCUGAGGAGCGAAAGUGUGGGGAGCGAACAGG